AGUAGGCUUGCCUUCUUUGUCAAGGAGGGACUUGUCUGGUGCAAGGCUAGAGAACAGGUAUCACGUGGCAAAGACUGAGGUGGAAGCUAGAAUUAGAGACGCUAUGUUCUUUCAAGUUGCUUGUGAUGGCUGGAAGAAAAAGAAUUGUUGUAUUGGAGAAGAGAAUUUGAUUAAGUUUAGCAAUAAUCUUCCAAAUGGGACUAGUUUGUAUCAAAAAGUUGUUUUAACUGGAGGAUCGGUGUCUUCAAAGUAUGCAGAGGAGAUUAUGUGGGAGGCAGUCAUGAGCAUAUGUGGGAGUGCUUUACCGAGGUGUGUGGGGAUAGUUGCAGAUAAGUACAAGGCCAAGGCACUGAGGAAUUUGGAGAUUCAGUAUCAGUGGAUGGUGAAUCUCUCAUGUCAG
rnacentral:misc_RNA from 1 species